GUUUUAAGGGGAAGAGUGGCACGCUGCGCUUAAAGUUUAAAAAGAUGCCUCUGGCUGCUGCGUGCAGGUUUGGAAGGAGGAGAGACCAAGGAGGAGGCUGGAACAAGACCCCAGAUCCACCUGCUGCUGUGUGGACCUCGGAAUACAGCAUUCAGGCCGCCGCCUCUGCUGACUUAAAGCUGGAGUCGAAGACGUAACCGGUUACAGGGCCAGGUGGGCAAUGUUGGCGAGUGAGGAAGCUGGUCCAGCCUCGGGGCCUUCGCACUUGCCAUGCCUCCACCCAGAUGCCUCUCCUCCCACAUCUGCAGAUGGUUGCUGCUUCCUGUGGUUCAGACGCCACCACGCAUGUCACCUACUCUCAGGAAACUGGAAGAGGGGUGGGAGCCGGCAGGGAGGAGCACUUCUGACCAUGUGACAUCGUGCAACGCCUGCAUUUCGUACCAGUGCACACCCAGAUAAGCUUUGGAUUUAAAUGGAAGCGUCCCCUUGGAGGGGACUUUCUCGGGAGCAGCCUUCCUCAUUUGUUUCUUCUUAUGGUGCUUUUGUUUUCCCUUAUGAAGUACUUAAUACAGUUUGUAAUUGCCUUGUU